GACGAACGCUGGCGGCGUGCUUAACACAUGCAAGUCGAACGGAAAGGCCCUGCUUUUGUGGGGUGCUCGAGUGGCGAACGGGUGAGUAACACGUGAGUAACCUGCCCUUGACUUUGGGAUAACUUCAGGAAACUGGGGCUAAUACCGGAUAGGAGCUCCUGCUGCAUGGUGUGGGUUGGAGAGUUUCGGCGGUUGGGGAUGGACUCGCGGCUUAUCCGCUUGUUGGUGGGGUAGUGGCUUACCAAGGCUUUGACGGGUAGCCGGCCUGAGAGGGUGACCGGCCACAAUGGGACUGAGAUACGGCCCAGACUCCUACGGGAGGCAGCAGUGGGGAAUAUUGCACAAUGGGCGGAAGCCUGAUGCAGCAACGCCGCGUGCGGGAUGACGGCCUUCGGGUUGUAAACCGCUUUCGCCUGUGACGAAGCGUGAGUGACGGUAAUGGGUAAAGAAGCACCGGCUAACUACGUG
rnacentral:rRNA from 1 species